UUAAAGAUGAAAGGAGUCAUCCAGGAAAAUGGUCGGUUGGCUCCAUGAUUCAGAGAUGGAGCCUUCAUCUCUGCUCUCGAAACACUCAAGACUUUUUGAGGAGACAAGACACACAGAUCAGCAAGAGAUGAAUUCAAAGACAGAAGUGAGACAAGAGACAGAACUGUUCCACUGUCAAGGCUGUGAAGGACAAAGGAACGGCUCUCCUUGUAUGGUCUGCCUCCAAGCUUUUGAAGAGAAGGAGAAAUUAUUUUUAAAAAGGAAGGAAAGCCAGGAAAUAUUGACUCUGCUGAACAAACCCUACGAUCACCUGGGUGCUGUUAAACCUCAGGAUUCCCGGGUUCCACGUGGCAUCUACAGAGGUGGAAUUUCCAAGGAAAGGGGCUCGGGAGUCCACCCUUCGUGAAAGCGUGCUAGAUGAUCCUGAGUAUCUUAUAACUUUGAGCUUCCUGCCAUCCGCACCAUUCCGCAGUCGUCUGGGCCCUUGGGAAUGGAGACCGCCUGCUGCAUGCCGUGUUAAAUAAAGUUCGUUUGUACCACC